rnacentral:rRNA from 1 species
UACGGGGGGGGCAAGCGGUGUUCGGAAUUACUGGGCGUAAAGGGCUCGUAGGCGGCCAACUAAGUCCGACGUGAAAUCCCUCGGCUUAACCGGGGAACUGCGUCUGAUACUGGAUGGCUAGAGGUUGGGAGAGGGAUGCGGAAUUCCAGGUGUAGCGGUGAAAUGCGUAGAUAUCUGGAGGAACACCGGUGGCGAAGGCGGCAUCCUGGACCAAUUCUGACGCUGAGGAGCGAAAGCCAGGGGAGCAAACGGG